rnacentral:tRNA from 1 species
AAGGGUAUCGCUCAGUGGUAGAGUGCUUUACUUAACAUGCAAGAGUUCCUGGGUUCAAUCCCCAGUACCUUUG